CCCACAGAUCGUGGACGUUGUGACGGGGCAGCGCAGUGUCAGCAGUAAAAGGGAUUGUUCUAAAAAUGAAUACUGGAGUGACGGGCUCUGCUGUGACAAAUGCGCUCCAGGCUAUAAGUUGAUAAAGGAAUGCUCUAGUGGCGUGCAAUCUGAAUGUGAGAAAUGUUCAGACGGGACGUAAGACAACAUGAACUAUUUCCCAAACUGCUUCAGAUGCCAGAAAUGCAGCAAGCGUCAUGCAGUGGUGAUUUCACCAUGCACACACCAAAAUAACACAGUUUGUGGAUGUAAGCCAGGACACCGCAUGCGGUUAUAGAUGGGUUCUCCAGGAUUUCAUGGGAUUGUG